rnacentral:rRNA from 1 species
GAUUCUGGCUCAGGAUGAACGCUAGCUACAGGCUUAACACAUGCAAGUCGAGGGGCAGCAUUGGAGUAGCAAUACUCAGAUGGCGACCGGCGCACGGGUGAGUAACACGUAUCCAACCUGCCGCUUACUCGGGGAUAGCCUUUCGAAAGAAAGAUUAAUACCCGAUGGUAUAAAGAGUUCGCAUGUUCUCUUUAUUAAAGAAUUUCGGUAAGCGAUGGGGAUGCGUUCCAUUAGAUAGUUGGCGGGUAACGGCCCACCAAGUCUACGAUGGAUAGGGGUUCUGAGAGGAAGGUCCCCCACAUUGGAACUGAGACACGGUCCAAACUCCUACGGGAGGCAGCAGUGAGGAAUAUUGGUCAAUGGACGAGAGUCUGAACCAGCCAAGUAGCGUAGGAAGGAUGACUGCCCUAGUGGGUUAGUAAACUUCUUUUAUAAGGGAAUAAAGUGAGGGACGUGUCCCUUUUUGUAUGUACCUUAUGAAUAAGGAUCGGCUAACUCCGUGCCAGCAGCAGC